rnacentral:pre_miRNA from 1 species
AGAAGGAUCGACAUCGUAGAACACAGGCAGUACAACCUGGCCUGUGGUUCUGUGACGCACCAUUAUUUGC